rnacentral:misc_RNA from 1 species
GAUGAAGAACGUAGUGAAAUGCGAUAAGUAAUGUGAAUUGCAGAAUUCAGUGAAUCAUCGAAUCUUUGAACGCAACUUGCGCCUUUUGGUAUUCCGAAAGGCAUGCCUGUUUGAGUGUCAUAUAAACCUCACCUCUACUGUUUUUCAUUAGACAUGUGGACUGGUGCUUUGGGCGUCUGCCGUUUACUCUGGCUCGCCUUAAAUGUCUAAGUGGAAUGCGUAAUAAGUCUUCGCAACCCUCCACUCUAAUACAAACUUUUAUAUUCUGACCUCAAAUCAGGUAGGACUACCCGCUGAACUUAAGCAUAUCAAUAAGCGGAGGA